GUGCUUGCUUCAGCAGCACAUAUAUUAAAAUUGGAGUUAUAAAGAGAAGAUUAGCAUGACUUCUGUGCAAGGAUGACAUGCAAAUUUCUGAAGCAUCCAUAUUUCCU
rnacentral:snRNA from 1 species